UCACAUGCCAAGCCUCAGCUGCUCUUU
rnacentral:piRNA from 1 species